GUAUGUAUUCAUAUAUUCUUAUUUUUCAUUUUAUUAUUAAGUAAAAGAUAAUUAAAGUGAAAAUAAAAACCUUGGAGUUUUUGGUGAAUCUUGAGGUCUGACAUCCAUCUGAGAGCGGUGUGGGUAAGGGCCCUCAGCUGUUGCCUUAUAUUAUCAUUGGAAGAUUACCACAGAUUGUAUAGAGGAGUGAAAUGAGGAAUUUGGUGAUAAACAUAUCAGGGUAGCGUAUUUCUUUCAGAAUUCUAGUAAAAAUGUUAAAUUCACCUUAUCUGUCUGUCUCUGUUUUCACCCUUGAACUGUUCUGUCUCUUAACCACCUGGUGUUCCUGGGAACGUUCAAAACAGACAAACACAAAAACAUGGUGUGCCCACUGUUUGCUUCUGUAACAAAGAACGGUAAGAAAAUAUCUCAGGGGGAAAAUAGGUUUUUCUUUCUCAACAAUGGUUAAUGAUUCAUUAGCAAACAUUUGCUGCCAUCACCUUACAAGCAGUAGGACUACGUGAAGAAAUAAUCUCGUGAAGGUAAUUGAAAACUUUUUUUCUGUUUCCCAGUUCUUCUCUAAGAAGUGAAUUUCCUAAGCAGUUCUGUAUCCUUCCUGAUUUAUCUGGAGAGGGAGUUUCCUAACCAGUUUUAGGUCCUUGUUGGUUGAUAUUGAGAGCUAGAAGAGCUAGGAGAACUUGGGUUUUGAACUGCCCAGUGUCGGGAAGGGCAAUUAUGCAAAUACGGAAUGAGCCAAAUAUUAGGAGAGCUUAACUGCCCAUGGUCCCAUACCUACAGAUAGUCUGCAAUCCUGUUCAAGAGAAUUUUGUGGUUGCAAAUACUUGGUUUUAGGAUACGAUUGAAGGAGCAAAAUGAUACCUAGAUAGUCUUUGGAAAUAAAGGAAUCUAGCCCAUUCUUUAAAAAUGAAUAAUUUAUAGAUUUAUAUUUUGGAAAUUAAUAAGGAUAUGUAGAAUGCUUUUUAAAAGACAGCCUUAUUAUUUUUCAAAAAUUGACAUUUCAAACAUUGGCGUUGCCCAAAGACAUUGAAUAUCGUUUACCCAUCCAAGAGAACAGCACUGUAAAUCUUUGCUGAAAAUGCGCUUUUUUCUAAAGGAAAUUUCUGAAGUCUCAGGGAAUAUCUGCAUCCUCAUAAUUCCCAUAUAAUAAAUAGGAGUGAAGGUGAGAUAUUAAGUGUGUUUACACCAGCCCAUUAUGGCCUUUUACAAAGCCAUCCCCCCAUUUCCAGUAGAUAUAAUUACUUAAAUGGGCCUCCUACCUCACCGAAAGUAAAAUUCAUAUUCAGGUAAUGACAUAGGAGCCUAAAUGUAUAGUUGAUCUGCAGUUGAGUGAGAAAGCAAUAUACCAGAACACAACUUCAGCUUGAAUCCCCAACUGUCCUUUAUUUACAUCACAACCUUAGAAACCUGUGUUCAUUGCUUUUGACACUACUUGACCAUAAAGUGGUCUUUAGAAAUAAGAUUUUGCAUACUGUUUCUAGCUGUUUUUGUGUACAAAUCAUGUUACUCAUUCACAUAUUUCUUGGAGCUCCUACUAUGUGCUAAGCACUACUGAAGUUCAGGUUAUACAAGGGUAAACAAAAGCAGCCAUGUAAAUUGCAAAAGGUCUUCCUAAAGUAGUAGUAGCCAUACAGCGUGUGUCUAGUUAAGGGCUCAAGGAGUAAAUAUGUGCUACGUAUUUCCCAAGACAUAAUGGAAAUUUAAGUGUAAAUGAAUUACAGAGGUGAAGCAUUUGAGGCACUGAGCGAAACAGUGGCGAGACCUGAAGAAAGAAAAGAAAGGCAUUGCCCCUAGGUGAAAUAACAGUGUGGAAGUGAAGAGCCAUGUUAAUAAAAUUUACAUUUUCUGAAAACAAUCAUUGGAAGAUGUAGAAUUCUUAAUAGAAACGUCAAGAAAUUUCUUAGUAACAUCUUAGUUGAAGAGAGAAUCCCUUUCAAUUAAUUCUGGUCAGUGCAUCAGGAAAGAUGCUAUCUGUUAUUCUCAGCUAACCCUUUCUAAUAACAAUUAGGUAAAUAAUGCAGCCUUCCUGUCACUGAUGUUAAAACACAAAGGAAGCUAAAGGGAAUUAAAACUAAAUCUUGAUUUUCGUCUUGUAGUCUGGUGAGAAGGAAAUGUAUCCCUUUAUUUUAUAUUGUUAAAAAUGUUGUAUCCGUGCUUUUUCUCCAAAGUGGAUAAAAUUAGUGUUUUAAAGUUUUUUAUUAUAAUAUUGUAGAACUGGCUUUCCCCUCCCCACCCCCAUCUCUAAGUCACAGAACUUGAGUUAUAAGAAACUUCAGCAGGAUUCUAGACCUAAAAUUUUUAGCGGCCCAAAUUCCCAGUUCUUACUUUGAGACUGUCUGGUGUUUAAAAAAAAAAAAAUUUUUAAAGGAUAAAUCAUUGUGUUUUGUUAGUGCUUAUUCUUGAAAUUUCCUUACCAUUUAUCUUUAACCUGAAUUGCUGGAUUUGCAACUCAAAUUCUGUAUGCCAAAAUAAUCCAGAUUCACCUUUCGGUCAAGAAGGUAUUUGGUGUAUUCCACUGUGAAAUGUCUCAGCUUUGUCCAAGAAGCAGGAGGGUGGGUAUCCUAUAUUUUCACAGUAUUUGGUGACCUUAAACAAAAGAUUUGGUUUCUUUUAUAGAGACUUUAUAAACUAAAGAAUUUCUAUACCUCCAUGGAGCUUUCAGUCUUAACCUAUAAAGGGCAUCCUUGGAAAGACUUCCUUAAACUGGGAGGAGGGACUGCGCCUUGAAUGGAGAGCCAGAGACGAUCAGCUGGGCAGAUGGGCUGUGACCACACAGUGGACUCCCCUGAAGAAUAACUUCAAACUCAAUGUCCCUGGUUCUCCAAACUCAAAGAGGCUAAAGGGAAAUAAAAAACCUACUGAUUUCCAUCGUGACCGCAAAACCCAGAGAAUGCCUAGGGGAGAAGAAAGAUAAAUCCAAGAUUGGGUUUAAAAUAGGUUUAAGUAAACUUGGGGUUAUUCUUAACCUUUUUUUCAAAAUGAUUUUUUUUUUUUUUGUUUUUAAGGUUUUGGUUUCACAUAAUGUUACAUUGCCAUGAUUGGAACAUGGCAUUUGAUUCGAGACAUUUUGUAGGCUAAGUAAUGGUUUUCUAUUGAAUCAUCUAGUGGCAACUUUUGCUACUGAUCAGGAUUUAGGUCUAUACACCUGUCUGUUAGAUGACACAGAUGUUGCUCAUAAACACUAUUAAGCCAACUGGAGUCAACAUUGAAUUUUACUAACUUUAAUCAUGGAUCCUCUUUUUAAGUAGUUAAAAUUCAGAUUAGUCCAAUAAGAAAGCAAUGCAUUAAAUGAUAUCAAAAUAUUUGAAGAUACUUUAGAACUGUUUUGCACACAGCCUAUUUCCUUUCUAUGGAAAGUGUGGUACAAAAAAAUGUUACUUUCUUGGGUCAGUUCUUUCUAAGAGUCAGUGUCUGAUGUUUUCAGAUACCUAGAGCUUGGACAUGAUGGAGUUGGACUUUGAACCCCAAGUAAGCAAUUCUCAUUUUAGGAUUUCAGGCAAUAGCAAUUUGAAGACUGGUGACCUCAGCUGAACCUGUAUGUAAUCACCGCAAACUUUAAAUUAAUGAAACUCUUCCAGAGUCUCAUAUUUUGGUGUCCUCUUUGUUGCAUAAGGAGAUAGAUACUGGGCUGGGAAAGACCUGACAAUUUGCUCUUUGAUAAUAAACUACUGAUUGAAGGCCAAGUUCUUACUGAAUUCACAAAAUAUGUAGAAUCCAUGAGUACAUGACAAAUGAAACUCUAGAAAUUAAAAACUUUUAGCCGUAAGUGCUAUGACCUACUUUUUAAAAAAACCCAUCUUAGUUCUGUGAUUGCAUCACACCUUAAGACUUUCACCAGCACCAAGAGAAAUCCGAAUGGAAGAAAUGACCUUCUGUUGGUCUUGUUCACUUUAAAACUUUGUGCACAUAGGCCUUAGCACUUUGACAGAUAAAACUCUGCCUUUUAGCUCCCUCUCACUAUCGUCUUUAUUCCUCUCACUUUUAGACUGUUCCUUUCAUUGGUUGUAUAAAACUACCUUCUUCAGAAUUGAAUGUAUAAUGUUUCUGCACAUGGGCAAAUUGUAUUUUAUCUUAACGACUCAUUUAAGUUGAAUAAAGGCAUACAGUUUUACUUUA